UUUAAUUAUAAUAUUGGCAGAUAAAUGCAUUAGAAUUAGAAUCUAAUAAAACUAAAAAUAUCAUUCAUUUUAUCUUACCUAAUAAUUACUGUAAGU
rnacentral:tRNA from 1 species